UGAGGAAUUUUGCUCAAUGGGCGCAAGCCUGAAGCAGCGACGCCGCGUGAAUGAUGAAGUCUUUCGGGAUGUAAAGUUCUUUUGGCAGGGAAAAUAAUGAUUGUACCUGCAGAAUAAGCACCGGCAAACUAUGUGCCAGCAGCCGCGGUAAUACAUAGGGUGCAAGCGUUGUCCGGAUUUACUGGGCGUAAAGAGCGUGUAGGUGGUGAAAUAAGUUAAACUUGAAAGACUCUUGGCUCAACCAGAGUUUGGGUUUAAAACUGUUUCGCUAGAGAUUGGGAGAGGAAAGUAGAACUAACAGUGUAGCGGUGAAAUGCGUAGAUAUUGUUAGGAAUACCCGUGGCGAAGGCGGCUUUCUGGACCAAUUCUGACACUGAGACGCGAAAGCGUGGGGAUCAAACAGG
rnacentral:rRNA from 1 species